rnacentral:rRNA from 1 species
AUAUUGCACAAUGGGGGAAACCCUGAUGCAGCCAUGCCGCGUGUGUGAAGAAGGCCUUCGGGUUGUAAAGCACUUUCAGUAGGGAGGAAAGGUAAUAGCUUAAUACGCUGUUGCUGUGACGUUACCUACAGAAGAAGGACCGGCUAACUCCGUGCCAGCAGCCGCGGUAAUACGGAGGGUCCGAGCGUUAAUCGGAAUUACUGGGCGUAAAGCGUGCGCAGGCGGUUUGUUAAGCGAGAUGUGAAAGCCCCGGGCUCAACCUGGGAAUUGCAUUUCGAACUGGCGAACUAGAGUCUUGUAGAGGGGGGUAGAAUUCCAGGUGUAGCGGUGAAAUGCGUAGAGAUCUGGAGGAAUACCGGUGGCGAAGGCGGCCCCCUGGACAAAGACUGACGCUCAGGCACGAAAGCGUGGGGAGCAAACAGGAUUAGAUACCCUGGUAGUCCACGCCGUAAACGAUGUCUACUCGGAGUUUGGUGUCUUGAACACUGGGCUCUCAAGCUAACGCAUUAAGUAGACCGCCUGGGGAGUACGGCCGCAAGGUUAAAACUCAAAUGAAUUGACGGGGCCAGGG